UACGUAGGGUGCGAGCGUUGUCCGGAAUUAUUGGGCGUAACGGGCUCGUAGGCGGUUUGUCGCGUCGGGAGUGAAAACAUCGGGCUUAACUCGAUGCUUGCUUUCGAUACGGGCAGACUUGAGGUAUGCGGGGGAGAAUGGAAUUCCUGGUGUAGCGGUGAAAUGCGCAGAUAUCAGGAGGAACACCGGUGGCGAAGGCGGCAUCCUGGACCGACACUGACGCUGAGGAGCGAAAGCCAGGGGAGCAAACGGG
rnacentral:rRNA from 1 species